AUUGAACGCUGGCGGCAGGCCUAACACAUGCAAGUCGAGCGAGCGGCGGACGGGUGAGUAAUGUCUGGGAAACUGCCUGAUGGAGGGGGAUAACUACUGGAAACGGUAGCUAAUACCGCAUACCAUCAGAUGUGCCCAGAUGGGAUUAGCUAGUAGGUGGGGUAACGGCUAACCUGGGAGACGAUCCCUAGCUGGUCUGAGAGGUUGACCAGCAAACCUGGAACUGCGACACGGUCCAGCCUCCUACGGGAGGACGCAGGGGGGAAUAUUGGACAAUGGGCGCAAGCCGUAUGCAGCCAUGCCGGGUGUGUGAAGCGGCCCUUCGGGUUGUAAAGCACUUUCAGCGGGGAGGCGUUACCCGCAGAAGAAGCACCGGCUAACUCCGUGCCAGCAGCCGCGGUAAUAC
rnacentral:rRNA from 1 species